rnacentral:tRNA from 1 species
CCCUGGUUAGCUCAGUCGGUAGAGCGCUCCACCUGUAAUGGAGAGGUCCCGGCUUCGAUACCCAGACCAGGCA